rnacentral:rRNA from 1 species
UACGGAGGAUCCAAGCGUUAUCCGGAUUCAUUGGGUUUAAAGGGUGCGUAGGCGGAAUGAUAAGUCAGUGGUGAAAUCCUUCAGCUUAACUGGAGAAUUGCCAUUGAUACUGUCAAUCCUGAGUACAUUUGAUGUGGGCGGAAUGUGUCAUGUAGCGGUGAAAUGCUUAGAUAUGACACAGAACACCGAUUGCGAAGGCAGCUCACAAAACUGUAACUGACGCUGAGGCACGAAAGCGUGGGUAUCAAACAGG